UAGGAAGUUACAGAAGAAACAAGGAAGGAGGCAAUGCUUACCCUCCAUCUACUCCAUUUCCACUCCUACAUACCUGUUGAUGAUGCUUCUGGUGAGCAGUACUGUGAAUUGUGUGCUACUGAAAGAUAGCAGGCACAAUCAAGCAGUUGGCUAAAUGUACAGGUUUGAUUAUGUAUAUAUUUUCCAAUAUAUAUAUAUUCACCCAGCUUUCUGUCCCACAGCCUUUACUCUCUGCCAUGGCUCCAUGAUACUCUGUGCAGAAAGAUGCCUGUGUUCCUUUAUUCCUGGGAUGGAUUUAAAUAAACAGUAUAACAGCCAGCCAACCAAAUCCAGGGAUGAAGACAGUACUCCAACACACACCUGCUGUUGCUCCCGCUGGCUGCGCUCAGCCCCGUCCCCAGGCUGGGUUGCUCCCCAGGACCACACGGGGCUCUCCAGGGUGCUAAUCACAGAGCCUCUGCUCUGCCGAGCUCCUCUUCCAUCCCGCUCCAUGGCGACCCUCCAGCCUUUCAUUUUCAGCUCAUGAAAACACUGGGUGGAUUUAGCUUUUCCUUUGGGGAACAAAAACAACACAAAGAUCAUGUGUGUGGGCCUUCUUUCAAAAUAGUGGGGCGUUUGAAAGCCGGGCUGCAGCUGCGGGGUGUUUCUGUCUCAAGCACUGCGUCUUCUGAAAGCACUUUAAAUAGAUGCCAAGAAAGCCCUGAGCACUUUUGGAAAUGGAGGAUUUUGAAAGCCUGUAUUUAUCUGCUCUUUGCAAAAAAAUCAAUUCCUCUAGGGUGAAGCUUCCCAGCCUUUGACGUCAUGGCACACAGAAGCAACAUUAUUUGAAGAGCAUUUGAGGCAGAACCAGAGGGAAUUUGAGUGUAUCUUUGAGGUCUAUUUAAAAAAUUCAAUAUGGCUUUUAAGAAAUUUUAGAAUUGUGGUAAGAAAAUAUAUAUAAAAUGUGAGAGAAGAUACUGCAUUUAUUUAAACCUUCCAAAUAAAAUUUGUUCAGAAUUUUAAAUGAGACCAGAGAGCCUAUUUCCAUGAACACUUUUAUGAUGGAAAAAUUUCAAACAUACAAAAAUAAAGAGAAUAGAAUGAUGACCAACUUCCCUCCCCCACAUAGCACCUCGGUCAACCAGGUAACACAGCACUUUCAGAUUUCAUGUGUGUUUUUCUCCCCUUUCUGCUAGACUCUCUUAAAGUGCAUCCCAGAUAUCAUUUUAUUUCAUUUGAAAACACUUUGGUGUACAGUUUUUACAGCUAGAACUUAAAAAGGAUAACUGUAUUACCGUCAUGGCCAAUAAACUAAAAAUAACCCUUGAAUAUCAUCUAAUUUCCGGUCCAUAUUUACUUUUCUUCAUUUUUCUCAGGGUUUUUACCAGGCUUGGGAUAUAGCUUGGUGGCAGAGCGGUCGGUGAGCAUACCCAAAACCUGAUUUGAUCCUCAGAGUAGGGCGGGG
rnacentral:lncRNA from 1 species